rnacentral:rRNA from 1 species
GUAGUCUGCAACUCGACUACAUGAAGCUGGAAUCGCUAGUAAUCGCGAAUCAGAAUGUCGCGGUGAAUACGUUCCCGGGUCUUGUACACACCGCCCGUCACACCAUGGGAGUCAGUAACGCCUGAAGCCGGUGACCCAACCGAUAAGGAGGGAGCCGUCGAAGGUGGGACCGAUAACUGGGGUGAAGUCGUAACAAGGUAUC